rnacentral:rRNA from 1 species
GACGAACGCUGGCGGCGUGCUUAACACAUGCAAGUCGAACGGUGAAGCGCCUUCCUUUUUGGUGGGUGUGGAUGAGUGGCGAACGGGUGAGUAACACGUGAGUAACCUGCCCCCUUCUUCUGGAGAACCGCAUGAAAGUGUGGCUAAUACGGGAUAUUCUGGGUCUGUCGCAUGAUGGGUCUGGGAAAGAUAUUGUUUCGGUGGGGGAUGGGCUCGCGGCCUAUCAGCUUGUUGGUGGGGUGAUGGCCUACCAAGGCGGUGACGGGUAGCCGGCCUGAGAGGGUGGACGGUCACACUGGGACUGAGACACGGCCCAGACUCCUACGAGAGGCAGCAGUGGGGAAUAUUGCACAAUGGGCGCAAGCCUGAUGCAGCGACGCCGCGUGAGGGAUGGAGGCCUUCGGGUUGUGAACCUCUUUCGCCAGUGAAGCAGGCCUGCCUCGUUUGUGGGUGGGUUGACGGUAGCUGGAUAAGAAGCGCCGGCUAACUACGUG